CACAGGUGAGGGUAACCAAGCCUGUGACGGAGCGGCGAACGGGUGAGUAACACGUGAGCAACCUGCCCCGAAGACCGGGAUAGCCCAGGGAAACUUGGAUUAAUACCGGAUACCCUCGCGGAACCGCAUGAUUCUGCGAGGAAAGCUUUUGCGCUUUGGGAUGGGCUCGCGGCCUAUCAGCUUGUUGGCGGGGUAACGGCCCACCAAGGCAUCGACGGGUAGCUGGUCUGAGAGGACGAUCAGCCACACUGGGACUGAGACACGGCCCAGACUCCUACGGGAGGCAGCAGCAGGGAAUAUUGCGCAAUGGGCGAAAGCCUGACGCAGCAACGCCGCGUGGGGGAUGACGGCCUUCGGGUUGUAAACCCCUUUCAGGAGGGAAGAAAUUGACGGUACCUUCAGAAGAAGCCCCGGCUAACUACGUGCCAGCAGCCGCGGUAAUACGUAGGGGGCAAGCGUUGUCCGGAAUUAUUGGGCGUAAAGAGCUCGUAGGCGGCUUAGUAAGUCGGCUGUGAAAUACCGGGGCUCAACCCCGGAACUGCAGUCGAUACUGCUGUGGCUAGAGUCUGGUAGAGGAGAAUGGAAUUCCCGGUGUAGCGGUGGAAUGCGCAGAUAUCGGGAGGAACACCAGUAGCGAAUGCGGUUCUCUGGGCCAGUACUGACGCUGAGGAGCGAAAGCGUGGUAGCAAACAGGAUUAGAUACCCUGGUAGUCCACGCUGUAA
rnacentral:rRNA from 1 species